GAUUGACAGUACCCGUUCACUUUUCUUCUAAGAACAGCUUGGACAUUAUGCUGAAUAUAUGGGCAGCAGUUUAGAGCCCAGAGCUGAGGACUACUGUUAAAUCAAUCAGCUCAGAAUGAGAGGAAAGGAGGGGAACCUCAUACUGGGUACAGCUACUGUUCCAAAGCACACACCAUGACUUUUUCCAACACACUGUUCUAUUUCAGUGUUCCAGCACUGUACUUUUGAGAUUUUGCUGAUGAGACCCCCUUUACACCAGGAUGCAAUCGAACACCACAAGGACAAACAGAGGCAGACAGAGAGAGAGAGAGAACAUUCGACAGAACCGUGACUCCGGACCCCUGGGACGCCCUCCUGCUGAAGAUGUGAGACUCGGAGGUUAUUUUAAGCAGCACGUCGGACCUGGUUCUGAAUACAGAGAGAGCUCAGGGGUAAAGAGACGAGGUGAGAGGACAAAGACAGCAGGAAGCGGUGGUUUUCUGAUAAGAGUCUAUCAGAUAGAAGCACUAGACUGGUCACUGUCUGGUCUGGAGAGAGCUGUGAGGAAGUCAUCAAGCCAUAAGCACAGCGGGGGUGAGAGACACGGGCUGAUAAGGA